CCUACGGGAGGCUGCAGUGAGGAAUAUUGGUCAAUGGGCGAGAGCCUGAACCAGCCAAGUAGCGUGCAGGAUGACGGCCCUAUGGGUUGUAAACUGCUUUUAUGCGGGGAUAAAGUGAGGGACGUGUCCUUCAUUGCAGGUACCGCAUGAAUAAGGACCGGCUAAUUCCGUGCCAGCAGCCGCGGUAAUACGGAAGGUCCGGGCGUUAUCCGGAUUUAUUGGGUUUAAAGGGAGCGUAGGCCGUGGAUUAAGCGUGUUGUGAAAUGCAGGUGCUCAACGUCUGCACUGCAGCGCGAACUGGUUCACUUGAGUGUGCGCAACGCAGGCGGAAUUCGUCGUGUAGCGGUGAAAUGCUUAGAUAUGACGAAGAACUCCGAUUGCGAAGGCAGCUUGCGGGAGCACAACUGACGCUGAAGCUCGAAAGUGCGGGUAUCGAACAGGAUUAGAUACCCCGGUAGUC
rnacentral:rRNA from 1 species